rnacentral:lncRNA from 1 species
CUUGGAACAAUGGGAGCUGUUUGGAAGUUCAGUGUUUUCGUGCUGACUGUGUGGCUUGCAAAAGGUUCUGUGUGGUCUGUUAAUGGAGCGGCACGCAGAUGGGAUGAGGGCACGCAGAUGGGGCAGAGCGAGCCUUCUCCCAAUGACAUUUCUAUAAAGAAGGCCCUCACACUGCUCCAGUCUAUGGAAUCCAUGUUGGUCCGUGGUGCUGAAGAAGUGAAAAUGGAAACCAAUGAAACAGAAGCUGGGACCUCCAUGAAGUCUGUGAAGCACCAGACAAAGACACAAGACUAUGACCUUUCCAAUGAUGCUGUCUCUGGCAACCAGACAUCAGGGGCACCAGGAGUCGAUGACUCUGAUCACGCAGACAACCAGACGUUGGUGCCCCCAGUGAGUGACGUGGGCAAUCAGGCUCCCGAGACGACGACGACGGAGGCCCCCGAGACGACGGUGACGACGAAGACGGAGGCCCCCGAGACGACGACGACGGAGGCCCCCGAGACGACGGCCACCGAGGCCCCCACCGAGGCCCCCACCGAGGCCCCCACCACGCUGGCCACCGAGGCCCCCACCGAGGCCCCCACCACCGAGGCCCCCACCACGCUGGCCACCGAGGCCCCCACCGAGGCCCCCACCGAGGCCCCCACCACGCUGGCCACCGAGGCCCCCACCACGCUGGCCACCGAGGCCCCCACCGAGGCCCCCACCACGCUGGCCACCGAGGCCCCCACCGAGGCCCCCACCGAGGCCCCCACCGAGGCCCCCACCGAGGCCCCCACCACGCUGGCCACCGAGGCCCCCACCGAGGCCCCCACCACGCUGGCCACCGAGGCCCCCACCGAGGCCCCCACCGAGGCCCCCACCACGCUGGCCACCGAGGCCCCCACCACGCUGGCCACCGAGGCCCCCACCGAGGCCCCCACCACGCUGGCCACCGAGGCCCCCACCGAGGCCCCCACCACGCUGGCCACCGAGGCCCCCACCGAGGCCCCCACCACGCUGGCCACCGAGGCCCCACCGAGGCCCCACCGAGGCCCCACCACGCUGGCCACCCCCACGAGGCCCCCACCCUACCGCUGGCCACCGGGGCCACCCACCGAGGCCCC